UACGUAGGGUGCAAGCGUUGUCCGGAAUUAUUGGGCGUAAAGAGCUCGUAGGCGGUUCGUCGCGUCGGCUGUGAAAUCCCGAGGCUCAACCUCGGGUCUGCAGUCGAUACGGGCGGACUGGAGUUCGGCAGGGGAGACUGGAAUUCUUGGUGUAGCGGUGAAAUGCGUAGAUAUCAAGAGGAACACCUGCGGCGAAGGCGGGUUGCUGGCCGACACGUGACACUGGAGAGACGAAAGCUAGGGGAGCGAAUGGG
rnacentral:rRNA from 1 species